rnacentral:rRNA from 1 species
UAGAGGAAGUAAAAGUCGUAACAAGGUCUCCGUAGGUGAACUGCGGAGGGAUCAUUACACAAUAUGAAAGCGGGUUGGGACCUCACCUCGGUGAGGGCUCCAGCUUGUCUGAAUUAUUCACCCAUGUCUUUUGCGCACUUCUUGUUUCCUGGGCGGGUUCGCCCGCCACCAGGACCAAACCAUAAACCUUUUUGUAAUUGCAAUCAGCGUCAGUAAACAAUGUAAUUAUUACAACUUUCAACAACGGAUCUCUUGGUUCUGGCAUCGAUGAAGAACGCAGCGAAAUGCGAUACGUAGUGUGAAUUGCAGAAUUCAGUGAAUCAUCGAAUCUUUGAACGCACAUUGCGCCCUUUGGUAUUCCAAAGGGCAUGCCUGUUCGAGCGUCAUUUGUACCCUCAAGCUUUGCUUGGUGUUGGGCGUCUUUGUCUCUCACGAGACUCGCCUUAAAAUGAUUGGCAGCCGACCUACUGGUUUCGGAGCGCAGCACAAUUCUUGCACUUUGAAUCAGCCUUGGUUGAGCAUCCAUCAAGACCACAUUUUUUUCAACUUUUGACCUCGGAUCAGGUAGGGAUACCCGCUGAACUUAAGCAUAUCAAUAAGCGGAGGA